rnacentral:rRNA from 1 species
GUCCACGCCGUAAACUAUGGGUGCUAGCCGUCAGCGGGCUUGCUCGUUGGUGGCGCAGCUAACGCAUUAAGCACCCCGCCUGGGGAGUACGGUCGCAAGAUUAAAACUUAAAGGAAUUGACGGGGGCCCGCACAAGCGGUGGAGCAUGUGGUUUAAUUCGAAGCAACGCGCAGAACCUUACCUACCCUUGACAUCCCGGUCGCGGACAUCAGAGAUGAAGUCCUUCAGUUCGGCUGGACCGGUGACAGGUGCUGCAUGGCUGUCGU